CCCUACGGGGUGCAGCAGGGCAAGAACGUGCUGUUGAUGAUGGAUUCGGUCACCCGCUUUGCCAUGGCCAUGCGCGAGAUCGGACUUUCCAUCGGCGAGCCCCCCACCACCAAGGGCUAUACCCCAAGCGUGUUCGCCACCCUUCCCAAGCUGCUCGAACGGGCCGGCAACUUCCAGGACCAAGGCUCGAUCACCGGCCUGUACACCGUGCUGGUCGACGGCGACGACCUGACCGAACCGGUGGCGGACUCGGUGGGCUCGAUCCUGGACGGCCACAUGGGGCUCACCCGCGGCAUUGCCGCCAAGAACCAGUACCCGGCCAUUGACGUGAUGAUGUCCACCAGCCGCGUCAUGCGCGACAUCACCACCGAACGGCAUCGCGAAUUGGCGGGGGGGC
rnacentral:rRNA from 1 species